rfam:Mucilaginibacter paludis DSM 18603 chromosome, whole genome shotgun sequence.
GGUCACAUGGCCGAGCGGUUAGGCAAGGGUCUGCAAAACCUUUUACGGCGGUUCAAAUCCGCCUGUGACCU